rnacentral:rRNA from 1 species
CCUACGGGAGGCAGCAGUGGGGAAUAUUGGACAAUGGGCGCAAGCCUGAUCCAGCCAUGCCGCGUGAGUGAUGAAGGCCUUAGGGUUGUAAAGCUCUUUCAUCCGGGAAGAUAAUGACGGUACCCGAAGAAGAAGCCCCGGCUAACUUCGUGCCACCAGCCGCGGUAAU